rnacentral:lncRNA from 1 species
CCAUUUGAUGGCUCCUUUUGGAAAAAUUGUACCACUGAUGACACCAUCAGCAAAAAUACCCCAACACUACCACAAGUCGCUGCACCAACAGAUAGUUCACAAUGCAUACAAGUGAGUUCACAAUGCAUACAAGUGAUACAUAGUCCAGGCAAGUUCUGCAAGCAGUUUAGUGAUAGCUAUUGCAGAAGCCAUAGAUUGGUUUUAUCUUUGUCUUCACCGGCACUGGGAUGAAGAUAGGAAUUCUGGCAAUGAUGGCUAAAGAAAAAAUUAUGUAACAUUCCAGAAGGCACUAAAAGAAAACAAUUUUCUGAACAAUUUACAUUAUCUUGAACAGAAUAAUUAAAUAUUAUGAAAAAGAAAGGUGAAAGUAAACAAACAGAUCUGUUAACCUCUUUUUUUUGUUCACAUACUAAAACAAUCCUCAACAGCUGUUUACCCAAUUUAAAUUAAACCAUUUAAAUCACGUGAAUAAAAUAAAAAAAAAAAUUGGAUCCAUUUUUAUCAUGAGCGCUCAUCAUAUAUGAUAUAUGGACAUAUGUACAUACAAACAUACAACCCAAAACACAAAUGUGCACACAUAAUAUAAUACAUACAACACAUAACAUAAUAGUAAAGGCCUUAUAACUUUUUACAGGUGAAAUCUCCAUUUCAAUGUUUAAAAAUUCUAUAGUCAAAAAAUAGAACUGAUCAGCAAAACAUUAACCUAGGUCUGUAUGUGCUCAAAAAACAAAAUAGAACAUCAUGAUGUGGGAAACUGGUUCUGUUGCAGAUGUAAGGAUAGCCAAACUGGAGUUCUGGAUAUCAGCUGUUAUGGAUUUGAGCCAAAUCAUCUUCUUUUUGGUCUGUAGAAAUCG